rnacentral:rRNA from 1 species
GAUGAACGCUGGCGGCGUGCCUAAUACAUGCAAGUCGAGCGAACAGAUGAGGAGCUUGCUCCUCUGACGUUAGCGGCGGACGGGUGAGUAACACGUGGAUAACCUACCUAUAAGACUGGGAUAACUUCGGGAAACCGGAGCUAAUACCGGAUAAUAUAUUGAACCGCAUGGUUCAAUAGUGAAAGACGGUUUUGCUGUCACUUAUAGAUGGAUCCGCGCCGCAUUAGCUAGUUGGUAAGGUAACGGCUUACCAAGGCGACGAUGCGUAGCCGACCUGAGAGGGUGAUCGGCCACACUGGAACUGAGACACGGUCCAGACUCCUACGGGAGGCAGCAGUAGGGAAUCUUCCGCAAUGGGCGAAAGCCUGACGGAGCAACGCCGCGUGAGUGAUGAAGGUCUUCGGAUCAUAAAACUCUGUUAUUAGGGAAGAACAAAUGUGUAAGUAACUAUGCACGUCUUGACGGUACCUAAUCAGAAAGCCACGGCUAACUACGUG